CUGAUGUGGGGCUCGAUCCCAGAACGUGAGCCGAAGGCAGAUGCUUAACGACUGCACCACCCAUGCGCCCCCACACAUCUCAGUUUUAAGUUGGAGGCAGAAUGGGCUGCUUUUAACCAUUCUGUUGAAAAAGAGCCACAAAGGAUCAUGCUGGGUGCCACCGUCCUGGACUCUUCUACACGGAGCCUCAUGAGUAAGCCGGAGGGACAGGCAUAAGAAUCCUCCCAAGGCCAGAACUUUCUCACGGGCGUGCCUCCGAUGGGUCACGGGUUUGCAGCAAGGCGGCGUGGUGAUGCUCUCUGUUCAUCCAGAGAGGGACAUGGCCCAGGCUUCCUUCCUGGGGAAAUUCAAAUAAGUGUGAGAUCAUUGUGGAGGUCCUGGCAGUGCUGUGGCCUUCUUCUCAGGCACCAAGGAUCCAACUUGAGCAUCACCCUGCUGGCCUGUCCUACUCCUCGCAACCCUUCCAGGAAUAGAUUGGCUCGUGACCCAACACUGAGGAGGUCCCUUGUACUGAUGAGACCAGAUUAUGAGAAAAUGGAUCUAAUUUAAAGAAAAUGUUGAUAAGUGUAACAAACAUUCACUCGGCAGAUUACAUAUCAAUGCUGAAGAGUCAUCAAAACCUCUGUUCUCAUCAGAUUUAGUCAUUCAUGCACUCACUCCACAAAUAUUUAUUGAAUUUCUACACAUUCCAGACACUAUUUUAGGCUUUGGGAAUGCAGCAGUGUACGAAAAAAAAAAUUACAUUCAAGGAUAGAAAAACAGACAAGAAAUAGAUAGGUAUACUAUUUUCCAGGAUGUUAAAGAACUAGGAAGAAAACUUAAGCAGGGUAAGAGGGUGGGUAGUGGAGAAGCACGCGAGGGAGGGGCCUGCUUUAUGUAGAAUGCCUGCAGAAAGUCUGAUUGUGAAAGUAGCAUUUGAACAGAGACCUGAAAGAAGUGAGGGAGUGGGCCAGGCAGGUCUUUGAAAGAAGGGCUUUCCAAGCAGAGGGAACAGCAAAUGCAAAGGCCUUGGGGCAUGGCAUGCUGACAUGCGUGAGCUGCAAGAAGGCCAGUAUGGCUCAGGAAAGUGAACAAGAGAGAGUGUAGUAGAAGUAGUGGGAGACCAAGUCAGAUAGGAUCAAAAGUCUGUGAUAAGAACUUUGGAUUUUACACUGAGAAAGAUGAGGAAGCCAAUGGAGUGUUUGUCCAGGGUUGUUGUAUAACUCUAUAAAACUCAGAAGAGGUGGACAGUAGAGGAAAGGGAGGGGCGAUGUUACUGUCAGAGCUCUGUGCCAGCAUAUCUAGGCACCUCUGUGACUGAAUUCUCGACAGCCAUUGCUUUGCCUCCAGUUACAUUGUCUUACCCUCAGAGAUGGGACAGGGUUCAACCUUAGGGAGAACCACUUAGCAAUUGGAGAAGGGUAGUGGGGGGAAGGACCACCAGGGGGCCACACUUUGACUAUCAUCUCUACAAGUUUAUGCUUGUGCUGUCAACAUUGCUUCCACUAACCUUUAUUCAUUAUCAUCUUGUCAUGUCAACAUACCACCUUGAAAACUGUCUUCUAGGGGCUCCUGGGCGGCUCAGUCGGUUAACCGUCUGCCUUCGGCUCAGGUCAUGAUCCUGGGGUCCUGGGAUCAAGCCCCACAUCAGGCUCCCUGCUCAGCAAGGAGUUUGCUCUCUCUCCCUGCCCACGCUCAUGCUCUCUCUCUCUCUCUCAAAAUAAAAUCUUUAAAAACAAAAAGCUGUCUUCUAGC
rnacentral:lncRNA from 1 species